rnacentral:lncRNA from 1 species
GAGUGGAGUUGGUUCGGUUCGGUUUAAUUUAGGUUAAUCGGUUGGUCAUCAGUUUUUAGUCUGAGUAGAUUAGUUUAGUUUAGUUUUAGUUUAAUGGGUUCGUUUAGAUUAUAAAGAGUUUAGUGCCUUUUUUAGUUUUAUAAUUUUGUUUUUUUCAAUGAAUUCAGUAUUAUUUUUUGUUUAAUCGUAUAUAUCUAUUAA